ensembl:lncRNA
CAACAAAGUCAGUCAAGAACAUGCUGGAGAGACUGUGGGUAGUUUUCCAAGCUCAGCCCCAGACACAGCUCAUCUCUCUGAAGGGUCAGAGUUAUCGAUUCCCUCGCAGAAAGCUGGGAUGAGUACCAUUACCCGAUGUUUGGAGAGAGCAGCUACACAAGUGGAAACGGUGGCAGAGACUCGCUCACACAGGGAGAGAAGACAGUGGAUCCCCAGGCAGGCUGCCCAAAGAUGCCCCCAAGGUGGUGGAGGAGACCCCUCCAAUAAGGAGAUCGGGGAACAGCCCAAGGGACAGACCAGACAGGCCAACAGACAGAUACAACAGAGAGACAGUCUGAUGCCAAAGACCAGAGGAACAUGCAGACAGGCCAAGCAGAGGGACAGCCACAAGCUAGACACUAAAGGGAAUAGAUUGAGGAGUG